rnacentral:rRNA from 1 species
GAUGAACGCUGGCGGCGUGCCUAAUACAUGCAAGUCGAGCGAACAGACGAGGAGCUUGCUCCUUUGACGUUAGCGGCGGACGGGUGAGUAACACGUAGGUAACCUACCUAUAAGACUGGGUUAACUUCGGAAAACGGAAGCUAAUACCGGAAAAUAUUUCAAACGGCAUGUUUGAAUAUUAAAAGAGGGUUUUGCUAUCAUUUAUAGUGGAACCGGCGCCGUCUUAGCUAGUUGGUAAGGUAACGGCUUACCAAGGCAACGAUACGUAGCCGACCUGAGAGGGUGAUCGGCCACACUGGAACUGAGACACGGUCCAGACUCCUACGGGAGGCAGCAGUAGGGAAUCUUCCGCAAUGGGCGAAAGCCUGACGGAGCAACGCCGCGUGAGUGAUGAAGGUCUUCGGAUCGUAAAACUCUGUUAUUAGGGAAGAACAAACGUGUAAGUAACUGUGCACGUCUUGACGGUACCUAAUCAGAAAGCCACGGCUAACUACGUG